rnacentral:rRNA from 1 species
AGCGAACGCUGGCGGCAGGCUUAACACAUGCAAGUCGAGCGCCCCGCAAGGGGAGCGGCAGACGGGAGAGUAACACGUGGGAACGUACCUUUCAGUACGGAACAACCAAGGGAAACUUUGGCUAAUACCGUAUACGCCCGUAAGGGGAAAGAUUUAUCGCUGAAAGAUCGGCCCGCGUCUGAUUAGCUUGUUGGUGAGGUAAUGGCUCACCAAGGCGACGAUCAGUAGCUGGUCUGAGAGGAUGAUCAGCCUCACUGGGACUGAGACACGGCCCAGACUCCUACGGGAGGCAGCAGUGGGGAAUAUUGGACAAUGGGCGAAAGCCUGAUCCAGCCAUGCCGCGUGAGUGAUGAAGGCCUUAGGGUUGUAAAGCUCUUUCGUUGGGGAAGAUAAUGACGGUACCCAAAGAAGAAGCCCCGGCUAACUUCGUGCCAGCAGCCGCGGUAACAC